CAGGCUGGAGUAGACAGGAACCACGAGAGGCAGGGAGGACUGUACAGGGGUUGCUGACCAGGUGGAAGAUGAUGGGAGCCUCAGAAGGUGUCGUGGGACAGGGUCAGGGAGAGGGCUCUAUGCGGCCAGGAUCUGGAUGCAGAUUGUUGAGACUGAAAUUUGGCUCAGAUCCCUUCUAGUUGUGUCUGUUUAUCUUCAGUUUCCUUGUCUAUAAAAUGGGGAGAGAUUGUGUGUCCCCGGCAUCACUGGACUGUUAAUAGCUAUUGCAUUUAUAGCAUUUAUCCCAGAACCUGAAACACAGUAAAUGCUCAGUAAGUGUUAUUAUUUGCCCCAAACUGUCUUAGUGCUUUCCCCAAGAGCUUUGUGUUGUUUGUACUAUGAGGAAUAAUGAGGGUGGUGUGGGAGUCGGCCUCUGUGUCUGCAGAGAGGACCACAGGCCACAGGAAUAGAGACAGGUAGAUAGGAUCAAGGUGACAGGAACAGAUGUUCAGAGCAAGAGAUGAAGACGGCAUCAUCAACCCAGACAAGCCAGUUGGAGGCAUCUGUCCACCCAUGUGGUUCCAGACACGUUCAUGUGGCCACCAUGACCCCGUCGGCAUCACAGGGGUAACCAAGAGAGCAGCAAGUUCCUGGGACAGAGGAGACAGAAGGGAAUUUCCAGGUUCUUCAGGACGUUCACAACCACACUGAGAAGCAUCUUUGCAGAUAAGUAUUUAAACUUACCAGCCCAUAGCCUACCAGCCUGCCCUCUUCUGGUCUGUGCAGGAAAGUGUAGUAUCCUAGAAUGCCAAAGUGGGAGGGGAAAUGGGUGAUGUAGCUCAUUCUCUUUUCUACCUCUAUGGAAGAAAGAAAGAGCCUGUCCCCAUUUUGUGGGGUCCCAGAAAGGGUGAUUUUCACACUUCACAUUUGGCGUUAGGGCUAGUAUUUCACAAACAUUACCGUCUGGAACUUUUGAAGGCUGAGUUAAAUGACUUCAUCUUGUGUACUUGUAGAACUGCUAUUAGAAGGAGGCUGGGGACUCCCUGAUGAUGUGAACCAGCCCUUCUCUUCUCAGUUUCAGCACUUUGUGAUCAUAUUUAUAAACCUUGGACAGGGCUCCUUGGCCUUAGAGUUAAGUGAAGAGUUAACACUGUGACUUUAGAUGCAUUUUUCUCAGUGUAAGUGUCUGAGCUCAUCUCCAGUUCUGGACUCGUGCCCCCACUCCCGGGUGCUGACAGCAAGCUCUGAAGAUAUGCUGAGAGAGCUCCCUGACUCUCCUGACUCAGGUCUGCCAGUUGAUGAAGACAGCACAGUUGUUACCAAAAACAAAACCUGGCAGAUGGUCCUAGGUCAGGAUUAGUGGUCAUUCUCUGGUCUUCUCCAGACUGGUGACACAGGGUGGUCUUAAAAGAGUCCUAGUCCAGCCUCUGGCUCCCCGAAUUUCCUCUGGUGCAUGGGGCAUCAGGAAAGGGCAGGGGAGAAGGAGGGGGAGCAGAAAAAUAACUGAGGCUGGGCAGAAGGGUCCCUUCCAUUUCCCAUCCAUUGCUUCAAACAAUGGGUGAUUACCGUGCACCUUGAGUGAAUGUCAAGGCAGGAAGGGUUCCAGGGCCACCCAGUGUGGCAGGAGCAGAGCUGGGAUCAGAAUUCUGGAUUCCUGACUCUCCGUUCAGCUGCUAUUCAGCUAUCACCAAGCUGCUGAGUUUGUCCUACUUUCUCCUGGGUCACAUUCUGCUGUUGUUGGGAAACAGGGAGUGAGUGAAGGGAACCUGGGAACCCUUCUCCCCUCACCUUUUAAGGAUGUUCUGGGGUGGAAUAAAGAGAGGUGGAGGGUGGGGUGCCUGGGCCCAGCCUCCCUGGCUCCUGGUCCUUCUUUCUUCAGCAGGGAGUUCUGGCAAGGCCUGGGCCUGGGGAGGGGGCCUGGGUGCAGUUUUCUCCUGCGGUGUGGUUGGCUCUUUUGUCUUCCAGGAUGGGCCUGUGGGGUCUGUGUGGGGAAGGAAGGAGCUGGGAGCCUGGGCUGCCUGUGUGUCGGCUGGAUGCUGCCAGGUGGCUCCAUCUGGGCCGCAUCUCCAGGACUCCUGGCCUGGACUUCUCUUUGGACCUCGGGUGACCUUGGAUUCUGGCCACAGUGACUUAGCGGUCAGACUCCGGUGGUUUUCUAGCCCGCUGGGUGACUCCCUGAAGAUCUCAUCCUCUUCACACCUGUUGGGAUGGAGCCUCCCAUGGAUAGGAACUCUUCCUGGUUGAUGCUCAGCAGAUGACUGAUCUGGCUCUGGAGGACAGCUCCAGGGGUAUGAGGGAGGCCUGGCAGCCCACUACUCCCUCCUCACCUGCUCGGGCCCUGCCUGCUGGGCCCUAUUGUCUGGGUCUGGGGGCCCUUUCCUGCCCCAUGUGAACUUGAUUCCUCCUCGCGUUUCUGCCGGUGACCAGACAGAGCCUGGCCUGGGCCAAGUCCCCACUGACCACACUUUCCCCAAGGCUGGGUCUCAAAGGACCCUACAGGAUGGGGACAGGAACAAGGAUGGGAGUCGGGGAGGGGCUGUCAGGCAGAGGGCAGAUGCAGCUCCUCGGGUGCCGCUGGCUGGAGUCCUUUGUCUCCAUUUGCUCAGUGCGUAAUUGUCAUUUUGUGGGGGACUUCCUUGGUGGGGCUUUUCCAUGCUUUUCCUCUCCCUGAUGGUUACAAAGAGGAGACAGUCAGGAUCUGGGAGGAGCUGGAGCCUUCCCCCUGUGCUGUUGAACUCUGGGAGGGGCAGCCAGAGGGGCUGAGAGUGCACCAUCCUGAAAAGAGAGGGUCUUUAAGAGAUAAGAUUUAGGCUAGGGAAAUUCACUAGAAAGAGACAGGUGGCCCUGGGUUUUUUUUCCUGCCAUCCAAAGGGAACCAGUCUUACCCAAAGGCUUAAGGGGUCACCUUAGCCCAGUCUCAGGACACUCUUCUCCAAUCAGAUCGCUGCUUCUAGUUGCACUGCUCCUGGAUUCUGUUCUUGGGGAACAGAAGGUGGCAGGACAGGCCCCACAAUCUGCAAUUCCAGCUCCCUCCAGAGGAGACAGUCCCAGCGUUUGCAAGAGAGCAGCUUGUGGCCUCCCUUAGGCAAGUUUAAAAGCCAGAUGUCCUUUUUCCCAGAAUGCGGAGUGGUGUGUACUAUUCAUCAGCUUGGGCUGCCACAGCACCAUGCCAGACUGGAUGGCUUAAACAUCAGGAAUUUAUUUUCUGCCAGUUCUGGAGGCUGGAAAGUCCAGAUCAAGGUGUUAAGACUUGGUUUCUGGUGAGGCCUCUCUCCUUGGCUUGCAGGUGGCACCUUCUCACUAUGUCCUCACAUGGCCUUUUCUCUGUGGAGAGGGACAGAGAGCAUGAGCAGGCUCUGGUGUCUCCUCCUCUUCUUAUAAAGACACUAAUAUCACCAUAUUAGGGCUUAAACCUAUGACCUCAUUUAACCUUAACCCCUUAAAGGUCCCAUCUCCAAAAACAGUCACAUAGCAGGCUACUGCUUCAACAUAUGCAUUUGGGGGAGGGGACACCAUUCAGUUCUUAACAGGGUGGUCACCGCAAACAUGGAAAGUCAGAGCCUUCUCCCCUUCAGAAUUCCCGCCCCCACCCAGGGAUGGGGAGGAGGAGCAGAGAGGUAUGGGAAGCAGACACGGAGAGUGGCAGGUACCAUGCUGGGGUGGCUCAGGAGUGCUUCGGAGGACAUAUGGAACUGGCAGGGCUCAGUGCAGGGAGGCGGAGGCCCUGGGAGAGCCGUGUCCUGAGAAGGGCCUGGGCUACAACCCUGGGCAAGUUACUUCACCUCUGAGCCUCCGAUGCUCUGUGAAAUGGAAGGAAUGUGCUUGCCUGUCAGGUGCAGGGAGAAUUCAGUGAGAUUGUGUGCCUAGCACAGUGCCUGACUCCCAGUAGGUGCUCAGCAAAUGCUCCCAUCCAUCUGGGAGUAUAGACUUAGGGUUUAUCUAUUUUUUUUUUUUUUUGGCUCUCUGGACUUUAAAACUCAGCAUCUUCUGAACCAGAGGCAUUUCUGAUUAGCCCUUCCCUACCUAUUUUCCUAGUAUCACUCUUUAAUCAGCUUGGGGAGGUGGCAGCAUUUCAUGGCCUCCGUAGUAACUCACAAUGCUUCCUGGGGUAUUUAAAUUCUACUCUCUCAUCAGCACUGAGCACCUACUUUGGGCCCUUUCCCGUGCUAGCCAUUUGGGGGAAAUAUAGGUGAAGAGUGGCUGGGGUUUGAACCUUUAGGAUUUCACAGCCAUGCUGGAUGGGAUAAAACCAGCUCACAUGGAGAAUCAGAGAAUGGGACAGUGCCACAAAACAGUCUACUGAGGCACAAGUUCUGAGUGCCUGGGAAGUGGUAGAGAGACCCCAGAGAGGGCUGCUGCAGUCUGGAACAGCUUCCUAGCAAGCUGUACCAAACAGGGCCUUGAAGGAUGAGAAAGAUCUGGCUGAGAUGAUACCCGACCCUCUAGGGAAAUUCUUAAAGUAACUUCUAGGAAAUGUCAUUGCUCCUUAAAAAAAAAAAAAAAAAAAAAAAAGCAGGUUCUAAUUCAAAUUCCGCUGCACUACUGAAGUAGUGCAGGACUUAUCAGAACCUUUAAAAUGCUAAUGGCAAUUUCAAAUACUCAGGGACAGGGCAUAGGAUGAAGUGUUCCUUGACUUUUAUGGCCGUAGAAUCUUUUUCUCAUGGAACAUCGUUUAGAACUGUGGGAGAUGCUAGGCUGGGGUUUCUAUGGGAAAAGUACAGCAGUGAUAGAAGAUGGCAUAAUUAGGGUACACUUAGGUGCUUUGUAGCAUUGGCUGAAAAGGAAGCAGACCGGGUGGGCGUGGGGGAGUCUCAACUUGGUUCCAGGAGCCAGGCCAGCUUGAUGCGUUUUUUUUUUUUCUAAUGGUGGGAGGGCAGGCCAAUAGUUGGAGAAACUAGAGGCCUGACAGUCGGUGAUGGAAGAGAUGUCUACUAAGCACGGUUGUCAGAUCUUUUGCGGAGAGAUGCGGGUGUGCGUGUGUCUGUCAGAGUGUAACAGGAUCCAGCCCUCUGGGAAGGGGCUGACCAGAACCAGGCAGGGGGUUUCUGUCUAGGACAAGUAGGGUCCAUUUUCAGGGGAGCUGAAAUAUUUGCAGGGGGUGCUCUGAGACCCACAGCCAAUAAAUAGGGAAGCAACAUGCUUUUGGGCAGGGUCCAUGUGGUUAGGGUUGAUUUUGAUGGGGCUGGGGGGCUUAGAGUUAGACCCCCUGCCCUGGUCAGGCCCCACUCCCUGGCUGGUGGGGGCGGGAGGCCUCUGAAGCUGCAGCUGGAGGGGCCGGGGCAGUGUUGCAUGGUGUGAUUAACCUACUAACCCAGGGCUCAGCCGGGACGCUGUGGCGUGUGACGAGGUGCCUGGCCUUCUGCCAACCAACUAACCCACUAACCAGGCCCGAGCAUGCCCUACUAACCACCCCCCCGCAGCCAGAUCCUACUAACUGUGCAGCUCAUGGGCCUUUCAAGGGGCUGGGAUAUGGGGGCAGCCAAGGCUCCAGAAGGCUCUGCCUAUGGGCUGGGAUCUUUGUGCAGACCCACGUUCCAGGACAGAGAAUGCAAAUAAGACUCACCAACUCUGCCACUUCCUGUUGAGUGAGUUUGAGUAAGUCACCUCACUUCUCUCAACCUCAGUUUCCUCAGUGGUAGAAUGCGAGUUCUGAUACCUUACAGGUUGCAGUGAGGAUUCCCGUCAAUAUAAGGGUCUCAGCACAUGGCAGACACCUAAAAAAAAAAAAAGUAUGAGGAUGGAGGAAGGCCCCUCAAACCUGGUUGAACACGUCUGCUGCCUAGGCCCUGGCCUCUCUGGGUGUUCUGCACACAGAUCCUUCUGCCUGGGGCAAGACACUUGGCUUUGAAUCCAUGUCACUUCCCCACAUUCUUCCUCCGUCUCAGCUUUCUUUUCUGUAGGCAGCUCUUUUGUUCGAUUACUAACCCGUCUAACCCCUGGGGUGCCUCAACUGCACCCCGAUCAUCCCUUAACAAACUAACGGACCUGCGUGCGUUCUUCCUUUUCUCUUAGCGACUCCUGUGUGUGUCUGCUGAGGUGCCCUGUCCGCUGGUGCUGUGCUCUGACUUACUAACCCAGCCCCUACUAACCCUGUUUUCUCUUCUUACUAACCCCAGCCCUGCCGAGCUCUGGGCUCCCCCCGGGGGCUGGUCCCCCUCCUUUUGGCAAGCAGAUGACCUGGGGCUACUGGCCCUGUAGACAGAUGUCCCACUUUGCUGCCCCAUAUUGGCUGUAAGAUCAGAGUCCACUGGGCCAGGUCUAAGGCAGGGGAUGGCCCUAUUAACAAGACUCAGAGGAGGAAGAGGUGGUCCUGUGGAUGUGGGAGGCUGGACUCUGAGUAUGACAUCUCUCCUAUGUGCAGAAGUCUGGUUGCCACUGGGAGUAGGUGGGACCAGGGAAAUCUCUGGGACGUGAGUGUGGAGGCCUGUUGGUCUAGACUCUAGACUGUGGAGCUCUGAGCUUUUGUGUCCUCUGGAAGGAAGCUGGGGAAGAAUCCUCUCCAUUGUUAAGUGACGGGGAUAGAAGCUGUCCUGCACAGGAAGUCACGAGGGGGGCGUAUCCCACGAGGAAGGCAGGAGGGGGCGUGCCCCUCACCGGAAAUUAGCAGAGGGGCGUGUCCCACACCGGAAGUCAGAAAGCGGAGCCUUUCUUACACCGGAAGUCAAUGAAGCGGGUCUUUCCUACGCUAAAAACCACUGAGUGGAGUAUUUAGUACACAGGAAGUCGGCCAGAGAAACAUUUCUCAUAUUUGAAGGCCGGAAAGAGGGACAUUUCUGACACCGGAAGUCAGUGAGAGGACUCUUUCCCACACAGGAAGUCAGCUAGAGAGCCGUCUCCCCUCUCUGGAGCCGAGAGAGGCCGGUUUCCCCCACCGUAGCCCACCUGGGAGGAAUUUUCCAGAGAUCACUGUCUGAUGACCCUGUCUUGGAAUUGGAGCCAUGCAAGUUACACUGACCACGUUUGGGUUGGGAUAUUGAGGAGGUUAUGGUUAAAAGCAUACGAUGGGAGAUCAUAUUGUACUUGCGAGUGAGACCCGGCUGGAGGAAUGUUUUAAUUCUUCGGAAAUACCAAGUGGUCUCUAGAUGGGUUUUCACUAUUUUUCCCAGGCUAGUCUCCAACUUCUGGGCUCAAGCGAUCCACCCGCCUUGGCCUCCUAAGUCCUAGGAUUAUAGGUAUGAGCCACUGCGCCUGGCCUUUUUGCCUUUUGAAAGUAUCUGUUGUUAACAAUAUUCAAUUGGGUUGAAUCUUGCUAGGGACCAAGGUGAAUUUGCAUAAAUUAGUCUAUGCCAAUUUGCAUACUAUCAGCAAAUUUGUAGUGUACAGAAUUUUGGAAAUAGAAGGAAGCUAAGAGGGGUGUCAAAUGCAGCUUCUUCUUUUUUUACCUGAAAAGAUACCAAAGUCCAGCUCAGGGAAGGUCACACAGCUAAUUCUUAUCAUGGGGAGACAGACCCAGGGACAUCAUGGUGCCUCCGAGAUUAGUACGGCCCCUCAAACAUCCCCAUUUUCUGUCCCUAGCCCAUUGGAACCCCUUAAAGUUGGUCCCUCGAGCUCGGGUGAUAGCACACAUGAUGGAAAGUAGGCAGGCUUGCCAUUGAAGCUCCAACCUAGCUCUGCACCACAUCAGCUGUGUGACCUUGAGCAAAUCACUUAACCACUCUGAGCAUGGCAUUUGUAAAUGUCAAGGUAGCAACGCCCUCUUUACUGCCCUGUUGUGACAAAUAAGAUAUAUUCCAUAAAUAUGAUCCAUGUAGUAUUAAACUACCAUUUACUGAGUCUCCCCUAUGGAAAGCACUUAGUAGGUGCUCAAAAACUCCUAGUCCUUUCUUCCCCUCUUUCAAUGUGUCACUGCAUCUGGGUAAUUUAUACCCAUUUCCUGUUUUCCUUUGAGAAGUGCAUGUCAUGCUCUGCACAAAAGUGACUCUUAAUGGUGGCAUUUCAAGCAUCAUGGCAGAGUGCUGAGACGCUGAUGAAGAUAUUUUAGGCUGGGGUGCAUGGGGAGCACUCUCAGGGCCUCUCAUGCGCAUCCUGAGCCCUUCCUGUGAACCAGACUGACCCUGGCUUCUGUGCCAUUUUCAUUCCAGCCAAGAAUGUUCUGAAAUGAAGCCAAUAUCUGAAGGAUCUAGGAUGCCUGUUCCCCUCUCUUAUGCUGUCUCGGGGGAUGAUUUAGCCACCAAGAAUUUUCCUUAUGGUUGCAAGAUGAUUAAAAAAAACCACACACUCAGAUGCUUUUCGGAGGUUGACAUUUUUCACAGCCCCUCUUCCUCCUCCAUAGAUUUCCUGGAGGUUCCAUCCAGCUCUGGCUCUAGCUGGCUCCUUGACUCUGGACAAGUCACUUCAUCUCUCCAAGCCUUGUCUAUAAAGUAGGGAUAAUACUCCUUCCCACUUCAGAGAGUCAUUCGGGGAUUAAACUGUGACAUGUAUGUAGCCAAGGGUCCAGCACACACUGACAACUCACCAAAUAUUAGCCAUCACUCCAAACUAAGAAGGCAGGAUUCCGGCUGGGCACGGUGGCUCACGCCUGUAAUCCCAGCACUUUGGAAGGCUGACGCAGGUGGAUCAUGAGGUCAAGAGAUUGAGACCAUCCUGGCCAACAUGGUGAAACCCCGUCUCUACUAAAAAUACAAAAAUUAGCUGGGCGUGGUGGUGCGUGCCUGUAGUCCCAGUUACAGGCUGGGAGGCUGAGGCAGGAGAAUCACUUGAACCUGGGAGGCGGAGGUUUCAGUGAGCCAAGAUUGUGCCAUUGCACUCCAGCCUGGCGACAGAGUGAGACAGAGUGAGACUCCGUUAAAAAAAUAAUAAUAAUAAAUAAGAAAAGAAGGCAAGAUUCCAUUAACUUCCAGAAGGUAGACUGUCUUAAAUAUUGGGCAAUUCCCUUUCCUCCUCUCGGCCUCAGCUUUCCCAUCUGAAAAAUGGGAGUAGGACAAGGGAACUGGAUCGCAGGCAUUGACAUAACUUUCUGUGGUUAUUAAAUAGGGCCCCACAAAGACAGUGUCGGGGACCAAGGAGCUCAGGCCGCCUGCCCCACCUUUGCCACCUGCAAGACUGUAUACUCCAGCCAGUAAGGACCUCACUGUUCUCACUCACUAGUGUGUCCUCAGUCCCAGCCCAGGGACUCUGGCUAGGGGCUGACACUUAAUAAAUCCAUGUGAAUGGAUGCAGGAACUCUGCUCCGAUCUGUUCUAUCUGCUUAGUUUUUGCAUACAAUUUUGUUUGAACAAAGAACCACGUGGUUUAUCUAUCAGUCAGGGCUCAGCAGGAAACACAUGGCACAUAUAUAAUUGGGAUAAUUUGAGGAGAGUUUAGUAAAGGAAUUGUUUACAAAGGUGUGGGCAGGGUGUAGGGAACCCACACAGGAGGGUAUAACUGGGGUCUAGUGUCAGCGGGCGCCAUCAUCAUUCCUAGGCCAGAUGAGGGAAGGUUAAGAGUUAAUGGCCGGGCGCAGUGGCUCAAGCCUGUAAUCCCAGCACUUUGGGAGGUCGAGGAGGGCGGAUCACAAAGUCAGGAGAUCGAGACCAUCCUGGCUAACAUGGUGAAACCCCGUCUCUACCAAAAAUACAAAAAAUUAGCCGGGCAUGGUGGCGGGCGCCUGUAGUCCCAGCUACUCGGGAGGCUGAGGCAGGAGAAUGGCGUGAACCCGGGAGGCG
rnacentral:lncRNA from 1 species